ensembl:lincRNA Fendrr Foxf1 adjacent non-coding developmental regulatory RNA
UCCCCUCCAUCCUCUUCCUUCUCCUCCUCCUCUUCUUUAAAACCACACCCAGUCCAGUGAGUGUUGCCUGAACACACAUGGGCAUUGAGCCAUCCCAGGGACUUGGGCAACCUACCAGCAGUCAUCCAUACCUUUGGAGAAGCUCGGCCGUCCUUCCUUGGAAGCAUCCAUUGGCCUAUGACCUCCGGACCCACAGCUUUUGACUAGGUGCAUGGCACUAGAUUUGUGUUCCCUCCUCUGAAGCAGACCUCAGAUCCCGUCAGAAAACGGGUGGCUCCCACAACCACCAUGCCUCUAUGGCACUGGUAGCAGGGCUUGCUUUGGCUUUGUUCCUUAACUUCCAGCUACCUUGAGAUCUUCUAGGCAGCUCCCCUGCAGCCAGAGGACCAGCUAUUCAGCUGCGUGUGACAGAUGACAAUGUUCCUUCCCCUACCCGCCUGCCCACCCAGAGCUCUGACCUGGUGUCAGCCUCUUGUGCUGAAUGGAGGCAUCUACAGCUGCUGGCUGAGGGUGGGAUCUGAACAGAUCCGGUUAUGCAUCAUGUAUAUCACUGGGAUGUGUACCGAGAGUCACCAUGGAAACCUGGGUAUGGGACUCAGAGUCACCAUGGAAACCAGCCACUGGGUAUGCCUGUCAGGAAGCUUCUAGAGUGUGUUCACGGAAGUGGGAAGAGCCACCCUGCGUGUUGGCAGUGCCAUCUCUUCGUGAUCUGGGGUCCUGGACAGAAUGAAAAGGAGCAAGCAAGUGGAGUACCAGCAGUCACCCCUCUCUGCUUCCUGACUGUGGGUGCCAUGUGACCAGCUGUUUCAUGUUCCUGCCACUGUGCCUCCCCGCCAUGACGGACUGUGCACGCUCACACUGUGAGCCAGCGCGAACCCUUCCUUCUUUAAGGUGCUUUUUGUUACAGCGGUGAGACGACGGCUAAUAUGCUGCAGAAACACGUGCACGGUGUGCAGGGCUCACGUGGACGACACAAUCCCUGCUGCAUCUCAUUUGACUAGCUCUCAGCAUCUGCUUCAGCCGCUCUUCUAGGAAACCACUCUUAUUCUUCUGGACUCUCUUUUGCUCAUAAAUUAAAAUGCAAAUUCUAUC